GGUCUCUUUGUAGGAUCCGAAAUGGGAAGGCUUUCCCGGUGGAGCCAGGAGGAAGAGGGUGCCCCUUGGCGUUCGCUGAAAAAACUGCAGCUGCUUUCGGACCCAAGGAAAAACGCUGCGAGGGCAUGCACUCCCGGACCACAAGCCCUUUUUCCCAGGGUGAUUCCGAGUAAAUGCUAUCUGCGACAGGCGCCUUUCUAUUGUUUCUGACCCAAGGAUUAAAAACAGCCAUCGAACAUAAGCACUUAGAUCAACUGCGUGUCAAAAAGAGGCCAUGGUUGAAGCACUAGUCUUUCUUGCCAGGACUGAAGCUUCCUUUGACGAUCUUGAGUUCCCUGCUCCUGCCUUCUCUAAGAUUGCAACUCCUUUUCUCCCUGCAUCUUAAAAAUCAAUCACAGCCUUGAUUACAUUUGAGAGCUGCUGAGGAACCCUUGACUGAUGACUCCCCAUUGACUGAAAAAUUAAGUAUAAAAUUUUCAUUUUGACAUUCAAGGCUUUUUCCACAACAAUGGUCUCAACCUCCCUUUCCUGCCUCAUCAUCCACCACUCUCUUUGCCAUAAAGGACAUGAGUUUCUCAAUGUUGCUACAGCGUAUCAUGCAUUUUCUUACUAAGUGAUUUUGUUUAGUCCAUUUUCUCUACCUGGAAUCUCUACCAGUUGAACUCAUCUGUCCAGACUCAUUUGAGGAUUUUACCUCUAUUCAGUUUCAUUCAAUUCAGCAAAUAUUGACUGAGGACUGACGCUGUUGAAUGCAUUAUGCUAGGCAGUGUGAGUGUACAGUGGUGAAUAAAGGUGACUUCUGCUUUCAAGGGGUUGCAAUAUUAUUGAAAAGACAUAUUGGCAACAUAUAAAUUGUUCAGCUUUUGACACUAUACUAAAUGCCUACCUAGAACUUGGCUCACAGACCAUGCAAUGCAUGUUUGUCAAAUGACUGAAUAAUUGUUAUAUGAGAUGCAAACAUAGUGCGUACUAUGCAUAGUGCAUAGUAGAGAAUAGGAAAUAAAGACUUAUCAACUGGGGGUCCAUCUGGGAGGCCUACAGAAGUUACAUUUGGAGCAGAGGGAUUCCGUGCUGUGUAGUGGUCAAGAACCUGGGCACAACAGGAAGUUAGAUUAGAUGCUGCUAUUGUUCUGAAAGUUCACCUGCCAGUUAAAGGGAGCCUGAGACACACAGCCUCUGUCUCCUGAAAAGUCCCACCUCGUUUCUUGGGCCAGCCCUCUCUGCAUAGCCUUUCUUGCAUCUUUCUUUUUCUCAGCAUCCCUAGACUUCCCCCAAUCUACCAGGUGUCUGUCCCUAGGAAAUCCCAAACUAUUUUGCAUAGAAAAACUUUCAUGUCUUAGAGAAGAAAGAUUUUACUUUGCUAUUCAGAGCCUUCUGGACACCAGAGGACUGUUGCCUUUCAAUCAGGCAUUUUGCAAAACAAAAGAGUAGUUUUUUCCUUUUGCCAACUUCAAACAAAGAAACCUGAUUCUUUUUGCAAUGGGAGCAGCGGAGAGGGUUUGGGGCACUGUAGUCAGAGUAGUGCUAAUAGUCAGCAGCAUGUAUUAAACAUUUACUAUGUACUAGUCACCAUAUAAGUCCUUUACAUACAUUAUCUCAUUUGAUCCACACAGCAAACUUUUGAGGCAUAGAUUAUUGGAAUCCUCACCCCAUUUUACAGAUGAGCAGACUGAGGCUUAUAGAGGUUUUGUAACUUGCCUAUGGUCACAUACCUAGCCACUGGAGGAGACAGAACCUGAACUCAAGUCUUAUGCCUUCAUAGCUCACCUGUUUAGCCAAUACACAAGAGAUUGCUUCACAAUAAUACAUUACUGGUUACAGAAAAAUUUUUGGAUGAAUGGAUACACCAGCACCUCUCUUGAGCUAUUCUUUCAGCUUUUGGGAAUUAUGAGGGCAGCAUUAAAAGCCUCUGACAAAUGGACAGAGAAAACUUCCUUGGCAAAAGAAAACUGGAUCCAGAGUCACUACUUACACAAUGGAAAUUUAGGCAAUAUUAUCACACAUUCCCCAGUUUAUUACACACACAUACAACCUGCCUCACCCUUUCAAGGACCUUUAAAUUUGUUUUCUUUUUCUUUUCU